UUCCAUCUGAAGAGUCCCAAAUAGGACGAAACGCGUGUCCUGGAU
rnacentral:hammerhead_ribozyme from 1 species